UACGGGAGGCAGCAGUGAGGAAUAUUGGUCAAUGGGCGGAAGCCUGAACCAGCCAUGCCGCGUGAAGGAAUAAGGUCCUAUGGAUCGUAAACUUCUUUUGUGCGGGAGCAAUAAGGGCGUCGUGACGUCCGAUGAGAGUACCGUACGAAUAAGCAUCGGCUAACUCCGUGCCAGCAGCCGCGGUAAU
rnacentral:rRNA from 1 species